rnacentral:rRNA from 1 species
GACGAACGCUGGCGGCGUGCUUAACACAUGCAAGUCGAACGGUGAAAGCGGAGCUUGCUCCGCUGGAUCAGUGGCGAACGGGUGAGUAACACGUGGGUGAUCUGCCCUGCACUUCGGGAUAAGCCUGGGAAACUGGGUCUAAUACCGGAUAGGACCACUGCCUGCAUGGGUGGUGGUGGAAAGCUUUUGCGGUGUGGGAUGGGCCCGCGGCCUAUCAGCUUGUUGGUGGGGUGAUGGCCUACCAAGGCGACGACGGGUAGCCGGCCUGAGAGGGUGACCGGCCACACUGGGACUGAGAUACGGUCAGACUCCUACGGGAGGCAGCAGUGGGGAAUAUUGCACAAUGGGCGCAAGCCUGAUGCAGCGACGCCGCGUGAGGGAUGACGGCCUUCGGGUUGUAAACCUCUUUCAGCACCGACGAAGCGCAAGUGACGGUAGGUGCAGAAGAAGGACCGGCCAACUACGUGCCAGCAGCCGCAGUAA